rnacentral:rRNA from 1 species
ACUCCUACGGGAGGCAGCAGUGGGAAUUUUGGACAAUGGCGCAAGCCUGAUCCAGCCAUGCCGCGUGCGGGAAGAAGGCCUUCGGGUUGUAAACCGCUUUUGUCAGGGAAGAAAAGGUUCUGGCUAAUACCUGGGACUCAUGACGGUACCUGAAGAAUAAGCACCGGCUAACUACGUGCCAGCAGCCGCGGUAAUACGUAGGGUGCAAGCGUUAAUCGGAAUUACUGGGCGUAAAGCGUGCGCAGGCGGUUAUGCAAGACAGAGGUGAAAUCCCCGGCGUCAACCUGGAACUGCCUUUGUGACUGCAUGGCUAGAGUACGGUAGAGGGGGAUGGAAUUCCGCGUGUAGCAGUGAAAUGCGUAGAUAUGCGGAGGAACACCGAUGGCGAAGGCAAUCCCCU